rnacentral:rRNA from 1 species
CCCUUUGAUGUUCUGGGCCGCACACGCGCUACACUGAAGGAGGCAGCGUGUACUCCUGGAUCGAAAGAUUUGGGUAACCCGCGAAUCUCCUUCGUGCUAGGGAUUGAGGUUUGCAAUUAUCCUUCAUGAACGAGGAAUUCCCAGUAAGUGCAAGUCAUAAGCUUGCGCUGACUACGUCCCUGCCCUUUGUACACACCGCCCGUCGCUACUACCGAUUGAAUGAUUUAGUGAGGACUUCGGACUGGGACCGAUGCGGCUUUCGGGCUGCGUCGGUAUUCUGGAAAGAUGUCCAAACUGUAUCAUUUAGAGGAAGUAAAAGUCGUAACA